AUUGAACGCUGGCGGCAGGCCUAACACAUGCAAGUCGAGCGGAUGACGGGAGCUUGCUCCUCGAUUCAGCGGCGGACGGGUGAGUAAUACCUAGGAAUCUGCCUGAUAGUGGGGGACAACGUUUCGAAAGGAACGCUAAUACCGCAUACGUCCUACGGGAGAAAGCAGGGGACCUUCGGGCCUUGCGCUAUCAGAUGAGCCUAGGUCGGAUUAGCUAGUUGGUGAGGUAAUGGCUCACCAAGGCGACGAUCCGUAACUGGUCUGAGAGGAUGAUCAGCCACACUGGAACUGAGACACGGUCCAGACUCCUACGGGAGGCAGCAGUGGGGAAUAUUGGACAAUGGGCGCAAGCCUGAUCCAGCCAUGCCGCGUGUGUGAAGAAGGCCUUCGGGUUGUAAAGCACUUUCAGUAGGGAGGAAGGGUGUUGUGUUAAUAGCACAGCAUUUUGACGUUACCUACAGAAGAAGCACCGGCUAACUCUGUGCCAGCCGCCGCCGUAAUAC
rnacentral:rRNA from 1 species